CCUACGGGUGGCAGCAGUGAGGAAUAUUGGUCAAUGGGCGGAAGCCUGAACCAGCCAAGUAGCGUGCAGGAUGACGGCCCUACGGGUUGUAAACUGCUUUUAUACGGGAAUAACGCGCCUUACGUGUAGGGCUUUGCAUGUACCGUAUGAAUCAGGACCGGCUAAUUCCGUGCCAGCAGCCGCGGUAAUACGGAGGAUGCGAGCGUGAUCUGGAUUUAUUGGGUUUAAAGGGUGCGUAGGCGGAAGGUUAAGUCAGCGGUCAAAUGUCGGUGCUCAACACCGGCCGGCCGUUGAAACUGGUCUACUUGAGUGAGCGAGAAGUAUGCGGAAUGCGUGGUGUAGCGGUGAAAUGCAUAGUUAUCACGCAGAACUCCGAUUGCGAAGGCAGCAUGCCGGCGCUCAACUGACGCUGAGGCACGAAAGCGUGGGGAUCGAACAGGAUUAGAUACCCCAGUAGUC
rnacentral:rRNA from 1 species